rnacentral:lncRNA from 1 species
UCCCCGCAACAGGUUGCGAGUAGGUUUUAAUGUUCGUCAUUAGUGAGUAAAUCAAAGAGGAAUAUAGAAGCAAACUAGAGUUGCCUUAAAAUUCUUUUUUUUUUUUGGUCUUCUAUCGUCUAGGUUUCACGAUUCUAGCAUAAUAAACGGAAUGGAUGGAUAUCUGGACGGUGAAUCCCAAAUUCUUUGUUCAUUAUCUUGUUUUUUCAAGAGUCACUGAGGUAAAGAGAUAUUGUUUGACAUUGUAUUUUAAAUUCAUAUUUGAAUCGUUAGUUAGAUGCGUCUGAAGGUGGAAAUUGCAUAACCACUUAACCAGUAUAGCGUUUUAGUGUUUUCUUGGGUGUAAAACAGGUACGGCAUGUGUUCAGUAUGAGUCUUUAUUUGUGAGAAUUAUGUAGAGGCAGAAGACAAUGGAAGAAAAUAUGUCUACCCCCGAAAGAAAGUCAUUUUAGAACAAUUUUUUUCAUGCUGGAUUGACACUUGGCCAAUGAGUCUUCCCACUUUGGA